GAUGAAGAACGUAGCAAAAUGCGAUAAGUAAUGUGAAUUGCAGAAUUCAGUGAAUCAUCGAAUCUUUGAACGCACAUUGUGCCCGCCAGUAUUCUGGCGGGCAUGCCUGUUCGAGCGUCAUUUCAACCCUCAAGCACAGCUUGGUGUUGGGACUCGCGUUAAUUCGCGUUCCUCAAAUUGAUUGGCGGUCACGUCGAGCUUCCAUAGCGUAGUAGUAAAACCCUCGUUACUGGUAAUCGUCGCGGCCACGCCGUUAAACCCCAACUUCUGAAUGUUGACCUCGGAUCAGGUAGGAAUACCCGCUGAACUUAAGCAUAUCAAUAAGCGGAGGA
rnacentral:misc_RNA from 1 species